UACGUAGGGGGCAAGCGUUGUCCGGAUUUAUUGGGCGUAAAGCGCGUGUAGGCGGCUUGGCAAGUCGGGUGUGAAAGCCCUCAGCUCAACUGAGGAAGUGCGCCCGAAACUGCUUUGCUUGAGUGCUGGAGAGGGUCGCGGAAUUCCCCAAGUAGAGGUGAAAUUCGUAGAUAUGGGGAGGAACACCGGUGGCGAAGGCGGCGACCUGGACAGUAACUGACGCUGAGACGCGAAAGCGUGGGUAGCAAACAGG
rnacentral:rRNA from 1 species